UUUCACACUGGCAAGGCAGGAGGCUGUGUGCUGCCAGAACGACCAGCAGGGGGCGCAAAGGCCACGCCAGGCACCUGCUGGCCUCAGAGAAAACAGAAAGGGAACCAGGAAGCCCACUCCUGCUGUCCUUUCUCUGCAAGGAAAUGUGCCAGGGCACUGCAGCCCAGACAGUCGGCAGUAGAGGACCCAUGAAGUAUCUUUGUGCAAAGAAAGCAGCAAAGAGAAUUAAGAGAAUUGCAUCAUAUAAAGAGUGAAUUAAACCAUCUAAAGGAGCAAAAAUUCAUCAUCACAUGGACAAGAAAUUAAGACGUAACAUCCAUCUCACUAUUUGCAAAGUGGCUUAUUCCUACAGACAAUGCAGAUAUCAGCUGGAAACCUAGGAGCAGAAGCCCAGCAUAAAGAUCUCUGAAAGCCUGGAUGCGUGGAUUCCUCUCUUACUUCCCAAAACGGUGGGGUGGAAAUGUGAAUAUCAGCAUGAUGCACAGAUCUCUGCAGAUGUCCAGCGAACUGAAUUUCUAGACGCUAUAAUCUAUGUUCUUUCCCAACCCCCACUUCAGUUUACAUAUCGCAGGCCAUAGAUCCUGUUUGUUGAAAAGCGAUCAGCUAGAAAACAAGAGUGGUUAUAACCUGUGCUGCCCAGUGAUCAGGAAAAGAGAGCGGAUGAAACUUCCAUGACUUUCUGUUAGUCUGAUUAAUAUCCAUGCCAAAUGUAAGAUUAGUUAAAAGGCCUUAUUGCUUCCCACCAAAAUGUUCCUUCACUAGCUAUAUACUACACUGAAAUGUAAAGUUAUGGGUAUGUUUAACAGUUUAAUUUGUCAGUGGGCAUC
rnacentral:lncRNA from 1 species